rnacentral:rRNA from 1 species
UACGUAGGGGGCAAGCGUUGUCCGGAUUUAUUGGGCGUAAAGAGCGUGUAGGCGGCUUGGUAGGUCCGCUGUGAAAACUCGAGGCUCAACCUCGAGAUGUCGGCGGAAACCGCUUGGCUAGAGUCCGGAAGAGGAGAGUGGAAUUUCCGGUGUAGCGGUGAAACGCGCAGAUAUCGGGAAGAACACCUAUGGCGAAGGCAGCUCUCUGGGACGGUACUGACGCUGAGACGCGAAAGCGUGGGGAGCGAACAGG